rnacentral:lncRNA from 1 species
ACAAUCUCAACUCGAUUUUUUUUGAUAUUUUGAAGUUUAUGACAACUAACUUAAUUCACAUAUGCUAAGAAUACUUGUUACUAUUUCAAUAAUGUUUUCAAGACCGCACCAGACAGGUUGAAUAAUCAGGCCCACACACUACACCAGUCUUGUCCGUACCUUUGAACCGCUUUAUUUUAAACCAGCUGGUUUGGUCAACUGUUACUAUAAAUU